UACGUAGGGUGCAAGCGUUAAUCGGAAUUACUGGGCGUAAAGCGUGCGCAGGCGGUUUUGUAAGUCUGUCGUGAAGUCCCCGGGCUUAACCUGGGAAUUGCGAUGGAGACUGCAAGGCUAGAAUCUGGCAGAGGGGGGUAGAAUUCCACGUGUAGCAGUGAAAUGCGUAGAGAUGUGGAGGAACACCGAUGGCGAAGGCAGCCCCCUGGGUCAAGAUUGACGCUCAUGCACGAAAGCGUGGGGAGCAAACAGG
rnacentral:rRNA from 1 species